AGUGAACGCUGGCGGUAGGCCUAACACAUGCAAGUCGAACGGCAGCACAGUAAGAGCUUGCUCUUACGGGUGGCGAGUGGCGGGCGGGUGAGGAAUACAUCGGAAUCUACUUUUUCGUGGGGGAUAACGUAGGUAAACUUACUCUAAUACCGCAUACGCCCUACGGGUGAAAGCAUGGGAUCUUCUGACCUUGCGCGAUUGGAUGAGCCGAUGUCGGAUUAGCUAGUUGGCGGGGUAAAGGCCCACCAAGGCGACGAUCCGUAGCUGGUCUGAGAGGAUGAUCAGCCACACUGGAACUGAGACACGGUCCAGACUCCUACGGGAGGCAGCAGUGGGGAAUAUUGGACAAUGGGCGCAAGCCUGAUCCAGCCAUACCGCGUGGGUGAAGAAGGCCUUCGGGUUGUAAAGCCCUUUUGUUGGGAAAGAAAAGCAGCAGGUUAAUACCCCGCUGUUCUGACGGUACCCAAAGAAUAAGCACCGGCUAACUUCGUG
rnacentral:rRNA from 1 species